UUCAACACGGGCGGUCGUUGUGUUUAGGUGUUGGUUUCGGAGAGUGGUUGAGUGCUAAUUUAUUGUGCGCCUGGAGACGAAUUUUAUGGAAUUUGAAUAAUACAUGAAAUCAGAAUGUAAAGAGGAAAAUUAUCUAGAAACUGCUUUGAUACUCUAAAAAUAUUUGAAUGUGAAAAAAAAAAAAUUAAUGAAAAAUUUCAGAUUUGAUAGUAGCACAAUUGGCUGAAAGGAAAGUAGUGCUAUCAGUAAUUUCUCCCUGUGCUAAGUUAUUCAUAAAUCCCAACUAAUUUAAAGGAUUUUUGUGUGGUGAAGGAAAAGCGGAAGGAAAUUAUCCUCCUACAUAUUACAGUGUUACUUGGAAACAUAGUGUAGUUGAAAGCGAGUUGUAUCUAUUAGUAACGGGUAAUUAAAACGAAAGUAUUUAUCGAAGUAGUGAAGUGUAUUCUUGGAAAUGUAAGGUAGAUUUCGUUCGGGUAAUCCACCUCAAUAAUGUUCUGAGCAACUGUGAGUGUUCUUAUAAACUAGACGAAAGUUUAUUCCCACGUUAGGAGUCUUUACACCGAAUCCGGUAACAGUGAAGGACAUCAACUGCAGCUCCGCGGAGACUGAACUUUGAACACGGCGCCAACGAUAGACGACAUCAAAACGCUAUAGAAUUGCUGUUUGGAUUGGGCUUUGGACGAGGGUGUUGCUGCUACAGCAGAGGUUUUAAAUCAUCUAAAUGAAAGAGGGUGGUAGAACGAUCGACCCCUGAAGUGCAAGAAAUUCCUCAUAUUGAACCGACUUUAUCGGCGGUGCUACCUUGGUGAUAUGGCCGCAACACAAAUACGACAAGGACUCUUCGUCGUUACUGCUACUAUUGCACAAUACAAGGAUAUGGUCGUAUAAGAAGGAGAGGGUGUCCAAAGGCCGGACCGAAAGACCCUCUUUUGUGCGCAAACACAAUCUCCUCUUAUCUUGUUGAUUGCGUCGCUGAGGAAGGAAGAAGCUACAAAAAAAAAGAUGUAUCCGACAAGCAAAUACUCAACAAGGCCACCGUCACCGACUUUUGUGAAUUUUUCGCCACCGUCCAAUUAUCCUUCAUCGCAUCAUGCCACCAUGCCAAUGAAACAUCAUAUGAUUGCGAAGGAUACACAUUCACACACUGCCGUUACAUUGGAUGGACGGGGCGAGAUUAUCUUCCCGAAUGAUAUUGAAAGUAUAGAGUUUUGUGUACAGGAUAAUGUCGUAGUCAAUUAUCCGCCGAACGACGCUUUUAGUGACCGAAGGCGACGAGGGAAUAGUCGAAGAAGUAAUCAUAAAUUAGAAGUUGAGCAGCAGGUAAAAUGGUCCCGAAAAAACAUUGCCGCCACAAUGGAGAGAUUUGAGCCCAACCAUAAACUAGACUACAAUACGCUUCAAACACCCAAUAACCACGUCUACUCGUACGCCUACUACGAACCGGGUGCAGCAAAAUGCCAUACAAACAUUCCUACACCACAAAAAGAGCUUGCACCUUCUACAGCGCCCAUUCCGGGCCCAUCGAAAAGUCCUCCAAGAAAUUCAAUACGGGCCCUCCUAGCUAAAAGUUUUCGCUCAAGAGCGCCCACCUCUUCGGAAGAACGGCACACCUAUACAACGCGGUAUGGGACCCAGGAGAACCUUUACGAAGAAGUCAAUGAUCAGAAAAUCCGAAAAGUCCUUUCCGAUAAUCGAAUAGUUUCAGUCAAUUCAACAAUGGUCAAGGAGGAACUACGUAGAGUUCAGCAUAAUCAUUUUCGAGUAUUGGAUGAGCUGAAUUUGUCGUUGGAAGCGCUGAUAAUGCCGUCCACCCCGCCUGAUACAAGUCCUGCCUCAACGUCCGAUAUGAAAGGUGGACCUACGCCACAUUGCAGCAGUAGUAUGGAGAACCUUUCGAGUACACUGACGUCGAUAGAGUUAAAGGAUCACACCUGCAUCAAUCCCGAAUUCGAUGAAGGCGAUCUGGAUAGCGGAUUCAGUGGCAGUGGUAGUAGUAGUGGUGCUAGUUAUAAUGAAAGCCUUAGAUAUUACAAAACAGGUGCUGUGAUGAUACCGCCAACACAAGCGAACGCCGGAGCGACAACCACAACCCUUCCCCAUAUGCGAAGCUGCCGAUCAUCGUCGUCGACCUCGACGAAAGGUAGUCUAAACUCUGAUGACCACACGUCGAUUGGUUGCAUAAUGACAUCCUCAUCGUCGGCCGCUUCGUCACCCUUCAAUUUUGGACGUCGCUGCUCCGAUACGCAGAGGUCUGCCACGGCUGGAACAAAACCGAAAAAACACUUCUGGACAAUAAAGCAGUGAUGCCGCAGCAUUGGUCGACAAAUACAAAAGACACUGAAUAUUGUCCUGGUAUAUCAUCCGAAGACUGCAAUCCAUUACGUUGUUCAAUACAAGCACCAUCUUCUACAAAAUUUAGAGGAGACUUAACUGUCUGCCAGACAUCUACUUGAAGUAUUGGAAAAAAAAAAAGAAAAUAUACCUUUGUUUCUUCAUCACCUGCAAGGAUGCCUAUAUAACAUUGGAAAAUGAAAUAAAACACAAACUUUGAAUUACAUAAAACGAGAUACUUUAGAGAAGAAAAUCAAUUUAAUUAUUGUAACAUGUAGAUUUAGAAUAUUAUUAGACGUAAUAUAUAUAUAUAUAUAUAAAUGCAAUUAUUCAGAAAAUUAUUACCGCUAUGAGAAUGUGAAAUUUUAUUAUAUAUAUACAUACGAAAUUUAAGAGAUAAUUUUUGUAUAUACCCUAUCUAAUCGUAAAAUAUUGAACUUAAUGAAUAAAAACAAAACGGAAAAAUAAUUUAAAACAAACUUCUUAAAAGAAUCUUAAUGUACAUUUGAUUGAACAUGAAUAAUUUAUAUAUAUAUAUAAAAAAAUAUAUAUUAUAUGAAAUAAAGAUGCAAUUCGCACUUUCAACUGUAAUUAUACACGACAAAAUAGAACUUUAACAGGUCGAAUACCUGAAGAUAAAAUGGACGAAAAAAUGUUUAAUAACAAUUUUUACUUCAUUCAUUGUGAAUAUUUUUCUCUUAUAAAAACAAAUCGAAAUUUUUUUCAUGAUGGAGUAAAACGCAUUAAUUACGUCCUAAGACUCGAUGACGAUUGAAAAGAAAAAUUAUAAAUGUUUAUGGGAAGAAUGAAUUAUGCAGAGAAUUUUCAAUAGUGCACAAGAAAAAAUCCUUUAUCUCACUAUAGACUUCAUAUUCUCAACAUUCUUGGCGAAUAGAACAAGAAUCUGUUGAUGAUGAAAUGAUGCAACAAGUGCUACAUUUGAAAAUUCGACUUAGUAGGAAUAAAUUUGAAUAAAAAGCUUAAAAUGUGAUAUUUUGUAAAACUCUAUAAAAGAAUACAAGAAGAAAUAAAAGAUGUUAUAAAUACUUUAAUUUA